GAGGGGAUGAGGUGAGGUUCUUCCUCCCAAAAGCCUUUCCAAAUCCUUCCUGAACAACACUCCAUACAGGAUAUGUUGUUCAGACUCAUGAAAAACUGACUGAGGAUUUUAGGCAGAGAAACCUCCAAGGAAUCUUGAGCACACAUCAGGCUCUGCCCAAAGCAGACAUUGGACAGCCUGCUCUGACAACAUUCCAGAUAACCCUUCCAUAGUGUACAAGCCAGGACAAGUCAACUAGCUGACAGGAUACAUCCAGGAAGCCUCUCCACACUGGAAGAGAUUUAUGAGGGGAGUAUGAGGUGCGAUCCAACACUUCAGUAUGAGGUUGUGGGAGCCCUUGCUGCCAGUUCUCUCACAUUUUCAGCAACACGUACAAAAGACACUGAAUUUGCAAAACUACGUUCAGCAGUGAUAAUACUGAUGUCCUGCUAGAUUAUAAACUUGAAUCAUUAUAGCUGACUACCUAAGGCUCCCCUUUACUCUUGUGAGAGACAUCCUGGAGUGCUUUUCCCAAUUCUCCUCCAAACUGCAUCCAUUUUGCUGCCCUACUUCCUAAGCAAAAGAAUGGAUUCCUUCUCAAGCUUGGACUGUCAUGAGCCCUUUGAUGGUCUGUAAGAAAAUUGCCCUGCAGUGGUAGAGGACAUGCAAAAUCCCAUUAGUACUGGUGGGAACUCCUGGAGUCUCAUUAGUGACAAGAUGAUUUGACAUUGGUGUGUUUAGAAAAUGUACCUGGCAUACCAAAUGGAACUUUGCUAUUUUGAAAUGGGAGAGUUUUAUUUGAAGCCCACUGGAUCAGACACCAAACCCUGCAUCACAGCCUCUGUCAAGAUCACUCCCUUCCAAGCAAGUCUCAGCAGUUCAGGUGUCAACCGUGCCCCCAAACUUACAGAAUCACAGAAUCACUGCAUAUUCUCAGUUGGAAGGGACUCAAAAGGAUCGUUGAGCCCAGCUGCUGGCUCUGCACAGCACCAUCCCCAAGAGUCACAAUAUGUGCCUGACAGCAUUGUCCAAAUGCUUAUUGAACUCUGUCAGGUGUGGUGCUGUGACUGCUUCCCUGGAGAGCUCUUCCAGUGCCCAAUCACCCUCUGGUGAAGACCCUUUUCCUGAUAUCCAAUCUAAACCUCACCUGACACAACUUUAGGCCAUUCCCUUGGGUCCUGUCACUUGUCACAAAAGACGAGAGAUCAGUGCCUGUCCCUCCUCUUUCCCUCCCGAGGAAGUUGUAGACUGUGAUGAGGCCUCCCUUCAGUCUUCUGUUCUCCAAGCUAAAUAGACCAAGUGACCCCAACUGCUCCUCAUACAGCUUCUUUUCUAUUUUCUUUAUUGUAUUGUAUGAAGUGAAAAAGGAGACUUAAGACAAAAAAAUUUUGCUAAGGAUGUCCUACCUCAAACCUCAUUUCUCUUAGGGACUGAAAGGCUUCCAACCAUCCUAAACAUCAGGUGGCCACACAGUGUACAGUCAGUAUCGUAGAGAGAAGGACCCCAAACUUUUAGAGAUUAGUUGCCCAAACAGAUUUGUGACCACAACACCUUCAGCAUUGUUUAGAAGUGGAUAAACGAGCAGAACAAGAGCUCUUGGUGUCCUAGCUCAGUCUGUAAGUAGCUCUAGUUUAGACACCGUUGAUGUGAUACCCCCUACAGAGCACAUUGAACUGCACUGGAGAUGACGAGUCAGAAAUCCCACACAUGAAACUACAAAGGAAGGGUAUUACCCUCUUACUAAGAGCUGGUGGUAAGAAUAGCCCAUGUCUGAAAGUCAGUAGCUGCUGGCUUAAUUCAAAAGCGAGCAACAUUUCAUGAGUAUAAACUGGAAAUGAUCCUGCUGUUUGCUUCCAGUUGGGGUGAGUGUGGAAGCAUAAUUUCUGCCCCAAUUUCCCCUGUAACAUGAACUGUUUUCAUGUUUUCUCUUUACCAGUAUUACAAUGGCAGUCAAAUACACUCGGUGGAAUUUUAGGCAUGUAUAAUGUGCUGCUUAUCUGCUGUUUUCAGACUGGUUCAAGGCAUGGACAAAGUUGGAGUAUGCUAGCAGUGUAAAUCUGGAGUCACUGUGCUGAGGCCAAACUGGGAAACUGAACUGAAGCCUUGGGCCAUGGGCUGGAAGGAAGUGCACUGAACAUCUGGGGCAGGGAAGAAUGCAUGACUCACCCUGCAGCAUCCUCCCUCUGGCAGAUCCUUGGUGCAAAGUAAACAUAUUCUGGAGAA